rnacentral:rRNA from 1 species
GACGAACGCUGGCGGCGUGCCUAAUACAUGCAAGUCGAACGCAGUGGGGACGGGUGAGUAACCCGUGGGUAACCUCCCAUCAGAGGGGAUAACACUUGGAAACAGGUGCUAAACCGAUACUGAUGGAUGGACCAGCGGUGCAUUAGCCGGUUGGUGGGGUAACGGCUCACCAAGGCCACGAGGCAUAGCCGACCUGAGAGGGGGAUCGGCCACACUGGGACUGAGACAGGGCACAGACGCCUACGGGAGGCAGCGGGAGGGAAUCUUCGGCAAUGGACGAAAGUCUGACCGAGCAACGCCGCGUGAGUGAAGAAGGUUUUCGGAUCGUAAAACUCUGUUGUUAGAGAAGCGGUAUCUAACCAGAAAGCCACGGCUAACUACGUGCCAGCAGCCGCGGUAAUUC